rnacentral:lncRNA from 1 species
AUUUUGUUAUGAAAUUUUGUUUUACUUUUUUUCCGUAGGAUUAUCCAGAUGGGCCCAAUGGAAUCAGCGUGGUUCUGCAAAGUAGAAGAGGGAGGUGGAAGAGAUGACAGUGAGAUGCUGCUGUUUUACUGUAACGAUAUCAGUGCUCCGUAUGUGAAGAAGGCUCUGAGUGCAGUGUGUCGUGGUCUUCUGGGCAUAACACAGCUACGAAGCUCUGUAAGUUCAUUUCACUGACUCCUGUCUUAGCCACUUCUCAGCACAGGGACACUAUCGUCAAUAAACACAAACCUUGAAGGAGGAG